GGUGGCUCAGUGGUAGAGUGCUUGUCUCGCAUGCAUGAGGUCCUGGGUUUGAUUCCUCAGCACCA
rfam:Dipodomys ordii contig_17083, whole genome shotgun sequence.